rnacentral:rRNA from 1 species
AUUGAACGCUGGCGGCAGGCUUAACACAUGCAAGUCGAGCGGGCGAGGUUGCUUCGGUAACUGAGCUAGCGGCGGACGGGUGAGUAAUGCUUAGGAAUCUGCCUAUUAGUGGGGGACAACAUUCCGAAAGGAAUGCUAAUACCGCAUACGACCUACGGGGGAAAGCAGGGGAUCUUCGGACCUUGCGCUAAUAGAUGAGCCUAAGUCAGAUUAGCUAGUUGGUGGGGUAAAGGCCUACCAAGGCGACGAUCUGUAGCGGGUCUGAGAGGAUGAUCCGCCACACUGGGACUGAGACACGGCCCAGACUCCUACGGGAGGCAGCAGUGGGGAAUAUUGGACAAUGGGCGAAAGCCUGAUCCAGCCAUGCCGCGUGUGUGAAGAAGGCCUUUUGGUUGUAAAGCACUUUAAGCGAGGAGGAGGCUACUUGGAUUAAUACUCUAGGAUAGUGGACGUUACUCGCAGAAUAAGCACCGGCUAACUCUGUGCCAGCCGCCGCGGUAAGAC